GGGACACGUGGUAUCCUGUCUGAAUAUGGGGGGACCAUCCUCCAAGGCUAAAUACUCCUGACUGACCGAUAGUGAACCAGUACCGUGAGGGAAAGGCGAAAAGAACCCCGGCGAGGGGAGUGAAAAAGAACCUGAAACCGUGUACGUACAAGCAGUGGGAGCACGCUUAGGCGUGUGACUGCGUACCUUUUGUAUAAUGGGUCAGCGACUUAUAUUCUGUAGCAAGGUUAACCGAAUAGGGGAGCCGAAGGGAAACCGAGUCUUAACUGGGCGUUAAGUUGCAGGGUAUAGACCCGAAACCCGGUGAUCUAGCCAUGGGCAGGUUGAAGGUUGGGUAACACUAACUGGAGGACCGAACCGACUAAUGUUGAAAAAUUAGCGGAUGACUUGUGGCUGGGGGUGAAAGGCCAAUCAAACCGGGAGAUAGCUGGUUCUCCCCGAAAGCUAUUUAGGUAGCGCCUCGUGAAUUCAUCUCCGGGGGUAGAGCACUGUUUCGGCAAGGGGGUCAUCCCGACUUACCAACCCGAUGCAAACUGCGAAUACCGGAGAAUGUUAUCACGGGAGACACACGGCGGGUGCUAACGUCCGUCGUGAAGAGGGAAACAACCCAGACCGCCAGCUAAGGUCCCAAAGUCAUGGUUAAGUGGGAAACGAUGUGGGAAGGCCCAGACAGCCAGGAUGUUGGCUUAGAAGCAGCCAUCAUUUAAAGAAAGCGUAAUAGCUCACUGGUCGAGUCGGCCUGCGCGGAAGAUGUAACGGGG
rnacentral:rRNA from 1 species